GGGCGAUUAGCUCAGUUGGGAGAGCACCUCCCUUACAAGAAGGGGGCACUGGUUCGAGCCCGGUAUCGCCCACCA
rnacentral:tRNA from 1 species